AGAUUGAACGCUGGCGGAAUGCUUUACACAUGCAAGUCGAACGGCAGCACGGGGGCAACCCUGGUGGCGAGUGGCGAACGGGUGAGUAAUACAUCGGAACGUGCCCAGUCGUGGGGGAUAACUACGCGAAAGCGUAGCUAAUACCGCAUACGAACUCUGGUUGAAAGCGGGGGAUCGCAAGACCUCGCGCGAUUGGAGCGGCCGAUGGCAGAUUAGGUAGUUGGUGGGGUAAAGGCUCACCAAGCCGACGAUCUGUAGCUGGUCUGAGAGGACGACCAGCCACACUGGGACUGAGACACGGCCCAGACUCCGUACGGGAGGCAGCA
rnacentral:rRNA from 1 species